AGUCACUGACAUUAGAUACCCGUGUAGUCCCAGCCGUAAACUAUGCGCGUUAGGUGUAUCGGUGACCACGAGUUACCGAGGUGCCGAAGGGAAACCGUGAAACGUGCCGCCUGGGAAGUACGGUCGCAAGGCUGAAACUUAAAGGAAUUGGCGGGGGAGCACCGCAACGGGAGGAGCGUGCGGUUUAAUUGGAUUCAACACCGUAAACUCACCAGGGAAGACUGUUACAUGAAAGCCGAGUUGAAGACUCUGCUAGAUUUUCAG
rnacentral:rRNA from 1 species